AUUACUAACGUCGCUGCAAUACAUGACAUUCCUGUUAGUGUGUUCAACAAAGUGGACGGUAGAUGUCGCUACCAAUACCAAAACAUAAAAUUGUGAUUAUCUCACGAAUUAUCCAUCAAAAUUGCAUUAUUGUGUUGCGGAGGACUAAUUUUUGAUUGUGUUAGGGAUUUUUCACGAGUCCGAUAUCGUAGAAGAACCAUUCUUUCAGCAUGUGGGAUUUUCCACUUGAGUCCGACAUUGCAGAAGAACCGUUCUUGCACCAGAUGGGAUUUUCCUUCUGAGUCCGAUAUCGUAGAAGAACCAUUCUUUUAGCAUAUGGGAUUUUCCUUCUGAGUCCGAUAUUGUAGAAGAACCAUUCUUUCAGCAGAUUGGAUUUACCUCCUGAGUCCGACAUCGUAGAUGAACCAGUCUUUCCGCAGAUAGGAUUUUCCGUCUGAGUCCGAUAUCAUUGCAGAACCAUUCUAACAACAAAUUGGAUUUUCCAACUGAGUCCGAUAUCGUAGAAGAACUAUUCUUACACCAAAUUGGAUUUGCCGCCUGAGCCCGAUAUCAUAGAAGAACCAUUCUUACAACAAAUUGGAUUUUCCGCCUGAGUCCGAUAUCAUAAGAGAACCAUUUUUAUAACAAAUUGACGAAUUUUUGAUGCUUUUAGGGAUUUUACGCCUGAUUCCGAUAUCCUAGAAGAACCAUUCUUACAAAAAAUUGGAUUUUGCACCUGAGUCUGAUAUCGUAGAAGGACCAUUCUUGCAUCAGAUUGUAAGUAUUAAAUUUCUUUAUUAUUUUCCAAAAUAACUUUUGCGAUUAUCUUACAAAUUAACCACCAAAAUUGCAUUUUUAUGUUCGAAGGACUAAUUUUUGCUGGUUCUAGGGAUUUCACUUAAUUAUUUAGGAUUUUACUCAAACCAAUUUGAAUAAAUCAAAAGUAAUAAAUAC